UACAGAGGUCUCAACCGUUGUUCGGAUUCAUUGGGCGUAAAGGGUGCGUAGGCGGUCGCGUAAGUCAGGUGUGAAAUCCCGGGGCUCAACCCCGGAACUGCAUUUGAUACUGCGUGGCUCGGGUACUGGAGAGGAGACUGGAAUUUACGGUGUAGCAGUGAAAUGCGUAGAUAUCGUAAGGAAGACCAGUGGCGAAGGCGAGUCUCUGGACAGUUCCUGACACUGAGGCACGAAGGCCAGGGGAGCAAACGGG
rnacentral:rRNA from 1 species